GUGGGGAAUCUUGCACAAUGGGCGAAAGCCUGAUGCAGCAACGCCGCGUGCGGGAAGAAGGCCCUAGGGUUGUAAACCGCUUUCAGUAGGGAAGAAAAUGACGGUACCUACAGAAGAAGGUGCGGCCAACUACGUGCCAGCAGCCGCGGUGACACGUAGGCACCAAGCGUUAUCCGGAUUUAUUGGGCGUAAAGAGCUCGUAGGCGGUUUGGUAAGUCGGGUGUGAAAACUCUGGGCUCAACCCAGAGACGCCACCCGAUACUGCUAUGACUAGAGUACGGUAGGGGAGCGGGGAAUUCAUGGUGUAGCGGUGAAAUGCGCAGAUAUCAUGAGGAACACCAGCGGCGAAGGCGCCGCUCUGGGCCGUAACUGACGCUGAGGAGCGAAAGCAUGGGUAGCAAACAGGAUUAGAUACCCCGGUAGUCC
rnacentral:rRNA from 1 species